rnacentral:rRNA from 1 species
AGGGAAUCUUCCACAAUGGACGAAAGUCUGAUGGAGCAACGCCGCGUGAGUGAUGAAGGGUUUCGGCUCGUAAAACUCUGUUGUUGGAGAAGAACGGGUGUCAGAGUAACUGUUGACAUCGUGACGGUAUCCAACCAGAAAGCCACGGCUAACUACGUGCCAGCAGCCGCGGUAAUACGUAGGUGGCAAGCGUUGUCCGGAUUUAUUGGGCGUAAAGCGAGCGCAGGCGGUUUUUUAGGUCUGAUGUGAAAGCCUUCGGCUUAACCGGAGAAGUGCAUCGGAAACCGGGAGACUUGAGUGCAGAAGAGGACAGUGGAACUCCAUGUGUAGCGGUGAAAUGCGUAGAUAUAUGGAAGAACACCAGUGGCGAAGGCGGCUGUCUGGUCUGCAACUGACGCUGAGGCUCGAAAGCAUGGGUAGCGAAC